UUUAUACAUAGUUUGCUUACAUUAGCCAUGGUAUAUGCAAAUACAGUACAGACUAUAAGAUUUAUUACUUCCUUAUAUUACGUUAUUCUGACAAUGGAAAGAUAAGCUUUUGCAUACGUCUGGAAAAGAAUAUCCUUAAAAUCGGAAUGGGCAAGACAUCCUGAAAUUUAGCAUUGUCUUACAUCCUAUAGAAGAAAUACCUUAGUCUGUCACAGUCAGCAUAUGAUUGUCGUAUAUUGAGUUUAAGUAUUCAAUAUUCCUUCAGUCAGCAAUAAUCAUGUUAUAAACCUUAUAAAAGCAUAAAAUACAUAUAAACAAGUUAACUAUUUAAUAUUCUUACAUUCCCCUCUUUGAGCAAUAAAACAAUUGCUCAUCUUAUCGAUAAAAUCUUACCAGGACAGAGAAACUUCCACAUGGUAUUUUCAGGGGUGCUAGUCACUCCCUGCGGGACUUUCAUUAAUUUCUUCACCUCGAUUCCCAUGUGGUAAUUCCUAAGGCCCAGUUUAAAGAUGGGUUGAUACCCUCCAGUGGCAGAGAGGAGAAUUUCUAAUUGUUUCUGUUCUGCAUUAUGGAUUCAUUUCUGUACUCUCUUCCUCAAUGUACAAGUAAGGUGACAGUUAUAUAAAAUCAUACACAAUAAAAUCAGGACUAUAAUAACAAAAGGAUAGAAGAAUUAUUUCAUUAUCUGGGAUCCAGUAGGGGACCAACCAGUGAAGCAUCGUACCAAUUAUGGGCUAAAUCAUUCUGAAUUUGUGAACUCACCUUAAGGAGUUCUCCUUUUAGGAUAUGUGUGGCUACCUGUGUGUGUUAUCUUUGGGGAAAAUAUAGUCCCCUGUGUAUGUGGGUGCCCACCAGGUUAAAUUCUUGGCAAAAAGAUCAUAAACUGGUACUGGUAAUGUGUUAAAUUGACAAGCUAAUUUAACAUCCUUUGAUGUAUGAUAUAAUGUAAAAUAGCA